UACGGAGGAUCCGAGCGUUAUCCGGAUUUAUUGGGUUUAAAGGGUGCGCAGGCGGGAGAUUAAGUCGGCGGUGAAAUUUUGCAGCUUAACUGUAAAAGUGCCUUCGAAACUGGUUUCCUUGAGUGUAGAUGAAGUAGGCGGAAUUUGUGGUGUAGCGGUGAAAUGCAUAGAUAUCACGAGGAACUCCAAUUGCGCAGGCAGCUUACUAAACUACUACUGACGCUCAGGCACGAAGGCGUGGGGAUCAAACAGGAUUAGAUACCCGCGUAGUCCCU
rnacentral:rRNA from 1 species